ensembl:lncRNA
UGCGUUUCGUGUCUUUGCUGCGGUUGAUUGACAGGUGACUUCCUGAUUUUAUACUGCAGCGCGGCCGUCGCGCCGCCUCCUGUUGGUGCUAGGGGCGUGCUUUUGACGCGCGUAAAAUACGCGACGCUGCGCUGCGGCGCCGGUGUGUGGAGGCCUUUGGACGGAAAGAUAGCGCCGCGGUGCGGCGCGCCGCUCCUGGGACGCUUCUGAAACGUUCCGCGGCGCGCCCGGUGGAAAUGGUCUCAUUGAUUAGAGUGGAAGCGAUCAGCAGCGGUGACCGCGGCGCAGCCGUGCCGCGGCGCGUACGUCUCCGGUGGAAUCGAGCCUUUUUAAGGCCUCCACACACCGGCGCCGCAGCGCAGCGUCGCGUAUUUUACGCGCGUCAAAAGCACGCCCCUAGCACCAACAGGAGGCGGCGCGACGGCCGCGCUGCAGUAUAAAAUCAGGAAGUCACCUGUCAAUCAACCGCAGCAAAGACACGAAACGCAAUGGGUGAGUAGCCUAUUGUAGCCUAGUUUAUUUAUUUUCCAUCUUUUUGGCUGAAUAAUUGGAAAAAUGUAUAAUCUGCGCAGUGAAAGUAUGUUUUCAAGCAUCAGAUCAACUUAGUUUGUAGGGCACUUAAUCGUUUUAUUUACUGUCAUUUCUUAUUUAUUUUAUAUUUUGCAAUUAUUCAUCUACUGCAUCAACAAUCUCAAUAACUGCAGGACCUUCUAUAGGCCUAUGUCACACUUCCUGCUUCCGGAACGCGUAGUAGGGUAAUCCAACUUCCGGUCGCGUCCAGCAGCAACAACAAUGGCAGCUCCCUUUCGCAGUUGUUCUUGUAGUGUACCGUGUUGCUCUACAUCAGGACGUAUUCAGCCAUACCUCAGCUUCCACGCUUUCCCGAAGGACAAAAUAAAUCUUGGUUGAGAUAUUUUUUUGCCCAGUACUGUCCUAACGUGCGAGUGAUUCUAGACGGCACAGAAAUCAGGUGUGAGGCACCCUCAUCACUCACCCUCCAGUCUGAAACAUUCUCCCACUACAAGAAUACCAACACCUUCAAAGAACAAAUAACUGUUGCCAGACAGAGGGGGGCUGCCCUUCUUCUCCUGCAAGGAGCAAGGAGAAGACAAAGGGUUUGGGUGCACCCCAUCAAUGAACGGAGACAAGAACAGGGGGUAUGCCACAAUCUGGUCCAGGAGCUCCGUGCAGAUCCUGAGAGGCACGCCAAUAUUUCAAUUCGCUACUAAGUGUGCAAUGGCAGAACCAUAUGGUGCAGCCUAUAUGAUGACCUAUAAUCUAGUUAUUAUCCCUCUCUGACAAGAACAGGGGGUAUGCCACAAUCUGGUCCAGGAGCUCCGUGCAGAUCCUGAGAGGCACGCCAAUAUUUCAAUUUGCUACUAAGUGUGCAAUGG